CAAAUUAUAUUUUAUUUUAUUUACAAUAAAAUUUCAGUUGUAAAUUUCAACUUAAUUUGA
rnacentral:tRNA from 1 species